UGGGGAAUAUUGCACAAUGGGGGAAACCCUGAUGCAGCGACGCCGCGUGAGCGAUGAAGUAUUUCGGUAUGUAAAGCUCUAUCAGCAGGGAAGAUAAUGACGGUACCUGACUAAGAAGCUCCGGCUAACUACGUGCCAGCAGCCGCGGUAAUACGUAUGGAGCAAGCGUUAUCCGGAUUUACUGGGUGUAAAGGGAGCGUAGGCGGUCCUGCAAGUCUGAUGUGAAAACCCGGGGCUCAACCCCGGGACUGCAUUGGAAACUGUAGGACUAGAGUGUCGGAGGGGUAAGUGGAAUUCCUAGUGUAGCGGUGAAAUGCGUAGAUAUUAGGAGGAACACCAGUGGCGAAGGCGGCUUACUGGACGACAACUGACGCUGAGGCUCGAAAGCGUGGGGAGCAAACAGG
rnacentral:rRNA from 1 species